rnacentral:rRNA from 1 species
UACGUAGGGGGCAAGCGUUGUCCGGAUUUAUUGGGCGUAAAGAGCGUGUAGGCGGCCUGACAGGUCUGCUGUGAAAACUCGAGGCUCAACCUCGAGAUGUCGGCGGAAACCGUCUGGCUAGAGUCCGGAAGAGGAGAGUGGAAUUCCUGGUGUAGCGGUGAAAUGCGUAGAUAUCGAGAGGAACACCAGUGGCGAAGGCGAGUCUCUGGACGACUCCUGACACUGAGGCACGAAAGCUAGGGGAGCAAACAGG